rnacentral:rRNA from 1 species
UACGUAGGGCGCAAGCGUUGUCCGGAAUUAUUGGGCGUAAAGAGCUCGUAGGUGGCUUGUCGCGUCUGCCGUGAAAGCCCAUGGCUUAACUGUGGGUCUGCGGUGGAUACGGGCAGGCUGGAGGCUGGUAGGGGCAAGCGGAAUUCCUGGUGUAGCGGUGAAAUGCGUAGAGAUCGGGAAGAACAUCGGUGGCGAAAGCGCUCUACUGGACCGCAACUGACACUCAGGGACGAAAGCGUGGGGAUCAAACAGG